rnacentral:rRNA from 1 species
UACAGAGGUGGCAAGCGUUGUUCGGAUUUACUGGGCGUAAAGCGCCCGUAGGCGGCUUACCAAGUUGGAUGUGAAAGCUCCCGGCUUAACUGGGAGAGGUCAUUCAAAACUGUUAGGCUAGAGGAUGGAAGAGGAGAGCGGAAUUCCCGGUGUAGUGGUGGAAUGCGUAGAGAUCGGGAGGAACACCAGUGGCGAAAGCGGCUCUCUGGUUCACACCUGACGCUGAGGGGCGAAAGCGUGGGGAGCGAACGGG